rnacentral:lncRNA from 1 species
UCCUCCAGUAUCCAACUAUAAUCCAAAAAAAUAGUAGUUGCAAGAAAAUGAAUGCUCUUAGGUAGUUAAAAAAAAGAGCACAAUAACUGUAGAAUGAGAGAGUGUAACAGAGGGAGAAAAAGGAAGGGGUAGAAAUAGGGUGAAAAGGGAAGUUGAAGAAAAUACCAGAAGAGGAAGAGAGAAUCAAAAGGUGAUGUAAGAAGAUGACACAAAGAAAAAAUGUUAAAGAAUUUAAAAUGAUAAGCUAAAGGAGGAAGACACAGAGAGAAAGUGGGAGGAUCAGGAAGGGCCUUUCUCAGGGAGGACGGAGUAAAAAGCGAAGGCGGAGGUAUCUACAAAUAGAUGGACAAGCAGGUUUGCUUCAGUUGCAGCUCUCGCCAGGCUUUCUGUGAGCUCCAGCAUUUCCACCUAGAGUUUUCAGCACAAACUGCUUCCUCUUACUGCCCAGGCUUUGCUUCUCACUCACUAAGUGCUCUUCUGCAAACAUGGCGACGGAGAAGAAAGGGCUGCAGUUAUUGAAUAGCCUCUUUGCCACCUACAUCGAGAAGGUCAAUAAUCAGGUGAAUUAUCAGAAGCACAAUGAGUCCAUCCAUGACAUAGUUGAGAAGAAGAUGAAGGAGCUGUUGGGCAUGGCAUGUGAAGAAGACAAGGAGGACAUAAUCAGCGAGCAGGAAACCUUAAAAUUGAGGUUGGAAGCUGAGAAAAAAAGAAGAAAAAUUGCAGAAGAACAGUUAGAUAAGAUUAUAAAGGAAAAGGUUAAGGCUGAGCUGGACUGUGAGUUUCAGAAGAAACGCACUGGACUGCUGGAGCAGGAGAUUCAGUUCCUGAAGGAGAUCUAUGAAGAGAAGAUCAAUCAGCUGCAGAGUCAGAACCAGACUGAGACCGACAAUAACAAUUCAGACCUGAUGGAAGCACUGGAAAAGAUCAGGGAGCGUGUUAAGAGGAUCAGUCUUGAAAAACACCAGUCAAAGAUGCAGAAUAUAGAGUCAGAGUUCGGGAGAAUGAAAGAGAAUAUGACGAAACUGAUGAACAACCUAAAAGGAUAUGAGGAAAGACUCAACAACAGCACGGACCUGGAGGCUGAUAUUGAACACUAUGCAAAGCUGCUGGAAAAAAUGAAAGAAAGGAUUAAUACAGGGAAAAACGUGGAUUCAGAUGAAGUAGCAAGUGAUGCUCAUGAUUGUGCCAUAGCACAUUUUGAACAACACCAUGGGAAUUUCGGAUUUUACACAGGUGGGUGGAUGUUACACUCUGGAAAUGGAAGGAAGGUGAGUGUUAUUAACCCUCUGUGGUCCACGGACACGCUGCACCUCCAAAUCACAUGA